AUUGAACGCUGGCGGUAUGCCUUACACAUGCAAGUCGAACGGUAGCACAUUAUCGGCUUCUGAUGAGUGGCGGACGGUUGCGUACUACUUAGGAAUGCAUCGGGAUCUGGGGUUUAGUGGGGCGAAACGUAUGCUAACACAGCCUAAUACCUCAGACUGACAGCAGGGAAAAGCAAGGGAUCUCCCGACCGGGCCGGACGGAAGGAGCCGAUGUCGGAUUAGGUAGUUGGCGGGGUAAAGGCCCACCAAGGCGACGAUCCGUAGCUGGUCUGAGAGGAUGAUCAGCCACACUGGGACUGAGACACGGUCCAGACUCCUACGGGAGGCAGCAGUGGGGAAUAUUGGACAAUGGGCGAAAGCCUGAUCCAGCCAUGCCGCGUGCGUGAUGAAGGCCUUCGGGUUGUAAAGUCCUUUUGUUCGGAAAGAAAAGCAGCUGGCUAAUACCUCGCGGAUAUGACGGUACCGAAAGAAUAAGCACCGGCUAACUUCGUG
rnacentral:rRNA from 1 species